rnacentral:rRNA from 1 species
GGGUGUGAUCAUACCAGUGUUAAUGCACCAGAUCCCAUCAUAACUCCACAAUUAAGCACACUUGGGCUAGAGUAGUACCGGGAUGGGUGACAUCCCAGGAAGUUCUAGUGUUGCACCCU